UUGGUCAAAACUAAAAGCAUAAACCAUUAUUAUUACUGUUGGAAAUCAGUCCUAAAUAAAACCAUUUCAUUAAUGAUAUGGCAAAUAAAGACAAAUAAGAUAAGAACACAUCAGCAAGGACUUUGGACAAAGUUAGUUAAGUUAGUUUGUUUAUCAUUUUUGUAUAGGCUUACAUGUGGUAAUCUAUAUAUAGUCUUAGUCUUUUAUCAUUUAAGAAAGAGAAAAAACAGAGUUAGAUAGACAGACAGACUAAUAAUGUAUAGUGAGAGUAGAUCACUUAGUGAGGGAGGGAAAUCCGGUAGCUUAGAAGAACCAAAAAGCUAAGAGAAGAAGAGGAUCAUUCUUCAAGGUGCUUCCAAGGAAGUCCAACUUUAGGGAAAAGACUCAUCCAAUGGAAGUUUUAACACAAAUUUUAGUCUAUAAAAGUCUGUAAUUGUCAACAGUUUGUAUCAUAUUGCCAUUGGCAUAGUGAAAGAGAAUUCUUAAGGGAGUUCAAAGGGAAUUAGGCUCUUCACAAUUUUUGUCAUUUGUUAUUUAUGCUAGUUGAGGUUGUUGGCUAAGCCCAACAAAUGGUAUCAAAGCAAGGUUUCAAUCGAGAGAUCAGCCAGGAACAAUCAAUAAAUCAUGAAGACUUGGCAGAGUAGAGAAGGUGUUUGAUCACAGUUCUGAAUCACAACUUCAAGAACUUCAAGAUUCAGAUUGUAAGUGAUCAAGAAAGAUAUCAACAACAAAGAUGGACAAAGAUGGAGAUUGAGAACUACAAUGGCAAAAACGACUUAGGGAAAAGAUGAAAGCUCAUCUUAGAAACAUUUGACUGGAUGAAACUUUGAAAGGAGAAGUUGGUAUGUCAGAUACAUUGGAGAAAGCUAAGAAGGAUGACAUACUAAAAAAAGGCAAGAAACACCAUUGUGUUGAGCCUUGAAGAUGAAAUCUCGAGGAAGGUUUUUUGAGAAGAGACAACUGUUCACAUGUGGAAGAAAUUACUAUGGCACAAGAAAUGAAAUGAAUUUCUCUCUCGCAUAUGGAGUAUACACACACUUUCAUUAAAUGCUAAAUUUUAUUUCAUUGUAUAGUUAAAUUCUACUAAGGAGGGAUUAAACUAAAGAAGUUUUUUUGCAGAUUUUUCUUUUGUUUUUCGUUGAAAGGGAUUAAAAUAAAGAAGUUGAUUUAUGUA